GAUAGUACUUCUCUCUCUGCCCCCAGGUGUCAUUCGGCAUGUUGGAGACGCCUUGAAGGACCACGCAUCUAAAUCUCGAGGGAAGAUAUGUACCAUAGGUAUUGCCCCAUGGGGAAUUGUGGAAAACCAAGAGGACCUGAUUGGAAGAGAUGUAAGUACUGGGGGCUGCCCCGUUACAUGACUUCUCCUAGAGAGGCUAGCACAAGAGUAUAGUUAGUAUUCAUAAUAUGCAUAAUAUUCUUUAAAAUAGUUUAUUGGAUGACUACUUGUUUUCUAAAAAUCUAUGUAGACCCCAUGUCCUUUAUUCUAAUCAAGAAAAGUAACUCACCAAUCACCCCCUUUCUGCUUCAGUGAAGCAGUGGUCUUUCUUUUCCAUCAAACUCUGCAAGUGCUCUUGGUAUGGUUAUCUUAAAAAUACCCUAUACCCACGUAACACUUGGCAACAUGAACUCACACAUGAAAUAUGGCCUCUUGUCACCCCAGGACUCCAACAUCGAUUAUUUGAGUGCCUCUUACCCAGCUCAAGAUUGCUACAGAGAGUCUUUCCAUUGGAGCCUGUGUCUUCUGUGGACAGUUUUGUGUGUGUGUGUGUAUGUGGCGGGGGGCUAAAUGCUUAGUUAACAUGUAGGCACAGUUGAAUUCUUUAUUUUGCAUGAAUUUCAAAACCCCUUGCCCAAGCUCAACACUUUCCUAGCCUCUAUUUCCCAUUCUGAUAUCCAGGGCCACAUACUGACCAGCUGUUCAACAAUUUUACCCAGAAACCCAGAGCAUUUGGUCUUAUUUUUUAUGAGUCAUCAUCUCAUUUCUGAUCCUUCUAGGGAUCUCAUUUAAAAAAAAAAAAAGUCAUUUCCACUCUCCCUUACAGAAUGUUUCUCUUCCAACAACCAUAAAAUUCUAUUUUAAAAGAAUUGGAGUUAUAUUACAUAAACAGAUUACCAUACUGUAUUUGUUUCCUCCAAUAAUUGCAGCAAUUGUUUUUCAUUGUUCUCUAUAUCAGUUCAAUAGUCAUUCCUUUCCAAUCAAGACCUGCCCGAGUAUUAAAAAUAUGCUAAGUAGUUUUAUCCACAUAUCUUGAGGUCUGUGCCCAAAAAGAGGAAAAAAAACAGAUUAUGAAUCAACUAGUCUUAAAUUGUUUCUUUUAAUGAUGGAGCCGUACAAUUCAACCAUCUCAUUUCAAUCCAACACAAUGUAUAGAAUUCUUUAAAAAUUUGUUUACUCCUUGUGUUUUGACAUUUGAUUUUUAACUCCUUCAGAACAUUUAAAUGAUAAUAAACAUGCACAUCACUGUUAUCAAAUUAAGUGCAGAAAUCCUAAUUUAUCCAGAAGACAGAGUACUAUUUUAUUUUAUACAUACUUUAUUCCCUAAAUGUUAUGUAGACAAAACUGAUAGAAAAAAUUUAGUAACACUUUUCUAGAAUAUCUGAGACUAGUCAUUCACGGAAUAUAAUUGGACUAAUACUUACCUUAGAUUUCAAAUUGGCUUUUAAAUGGAUGUCAGUUAACUUAGGAACCAGAACAAAUAUAUUUCCUAAAGAAUUAAAACAUGCUAAAAUGACCUCAACUCCAAACACAUUUAAUAUUGCAUUUUAAUAGUAUGUAAAUUGUUCCAAAAAUAACUUCUGAGUCAUAUUUUUAAUGUUCGUAGCUUCAGGAUCACUAUCAGAAAUUUAAAUAAUUAUUCAACGAGUGGGGCUGGUUUAGAACUCUUAUUUCUGUACUUGAGAUAGGCAACUAAGGUUAUAAUUUUGUUACUCUAAGCAUUUUUGUGUUUGCUCAUCUUAGAUUGGAGAUUUCUUUCUAUUACAUGCCAAAGGGGUUAGAGAUGUUUAAGUGAUCCAAAGAAAAAUGGUCACAGAGGGCAAAAAUUUGUAUAGUCAUCAUCCCUGCUGCCAGGGGGCUACAAAAAGCAAACCAUUAUACCUAAAGAACCAGGUAAGCUGACAGAGAGAGGGAAGUGAAAAGGAAAUGAGAAGGCUGAAUGGGGGUAUCCAACAUUCACCUGCUAUUCCACAAAGAACCAAAGUAACAAGCUGCAUUGUGAGGUGACUUACAAUUGGAGAGCCCUGGAAAUUAGACUGGAACCUUGGGAUAUUCAGAAACCUGGAACAUUAUAAUAAGAAAAACAAAAUGCCCUAGCAUCUGUGACUUUAGCUCCGCAGCCGAGCAAGGAGGAGUCUCCACUUUGCAGAAAUAAGGGCAAGAGACCCAAAAAACUAUCAGUUAAAAUAGGAUUGAAAUCUGGUCAAUAGCAUUGCUUUUGAUAAAGAUCUUACAUCAUCUCCCAUUGAAUACCCACGGUGCUGGAGCCAGGUUCUGUGUUAAGAAGUAAGCUAUUGCCCAAGUUUGGGAUAUUCUAGAGGUCAGAAACUGCUUCCAGAAACUCACCAGUUUGAAAGUAGCCAUCUUGAAAAUUCAAGUUAUCCCAGUGGAGUGACUGACCUAAGCCCACUAGAUGGUGUAUAAGGAUGGAUGUUGUGACACAGAAGGGAAUGGGCUGUGAUAACAUUGAGAACCAGAAGCUUGGAUCACUUUCCCUGAGACCAAGGGCAUAAAUGACCAUAUGUAACUCAAUGCCUGCAUAGUUCCUGCUGUCCCUGCACCACACUCAGAUGCCUGUUCUUGGCAGGGUUGGGGAAAACAUCAUGGUUCCACAGCUAAUCAUGGGUGCCCAGAAGGGUCAAGAGGAACUUUGGCACCAUUUAUACAUAUGCACUACCAUCAGUUGAGAAGUACACCACAGUUCCACUGCACCUUGUCUGACCACAUACUGCUGUCUGGACUGGGUAUUUGCAGUUCACACCACUGUCUCUCCUCAUGUGUCUCAUGGGACUAUACCAGAACAAGUGAUUCAGGGCCCUCACUACUGCUGGUGCUACCAGUGCCAGAGGCCUUUGUCAGUAGCAGAGCUAGCAUCAGCAGUAUGUGAGGAAUUCCCCAUCACCUGAAUUGUAGGAGUAGCCCUAGCACAGCACGCAAGUUGCACCAUGCUUGCUAGUGUGUCUCAUUCUUGCAUGAACCACAGAAACAAGGGUUCUCUCUUACUUCAUCACAGUAGGCAAUACCAAAGACAUUAAUCACAGCAAAAGAGACUGCACUACUGGAAAUAAGGUGAACAUUGCAUAACUGACAGAAAGCAGCUUUCUCCUGAAGGUAUGCCCAAGAUGGCCACCUCAUCAAAGUGGUAGAGAUACAUGAUCCAAAAGAUUCCAGAUAAAUUGAUACAGUUAAAAAGUCUGAUAAAUUAUUUAAAAGCUCAGUGAUAUCUAAAAGACUACGGGUAAACAGUUCAAUGAAAUUAAGAAGAAAAAUACAUGAUAAAAAUGAGAAAUUGAGUGGAGAUUUAGAAGAAACCAAACAAAUCUUUGAAAUGAAAAAUUCAGUAAGUAUGUGUGUAUGCACACAGCUGAAAGCCUGAACAAUAGAGUAGAUGAAGCAGAAGAAAGAAUAUUUGAACUUGAAGUCAUGUCUUUUUACUUUUGGACAUCAAAAGGUCACUAUAGAAAAAGGAAGAUUUAAAAAUUUAUUGAAACAAUUGAAAAUGGAAGCACAGAAUACCAAAAAUUAUGUCAUGUAGCAAAUAUAGUGCCAAGAGAAGGAAGUUUAUAGCAAUAAGUACCACUUUAUAAGAACAAUGAUUUCAAACAACUUAACAGUGUAUCUCAAGUACUUAGAAAAGCAAAACCACACCAAACCCAAAAAUAGAAGGGAAAAAAUGACAGAGCAGGGAUAAGUAAAAUUUAAAAAGAAAUAAAAUAUCAAUGAAGCAAAUAGUUAGCUUUUUGAAAAGAAAGUUUACAAACCUUUAGCUAGACUACCCAAGAAAGAAAAGACCCAAAUAAAACUAAAUUGAUACCUUGAAAAUACAAAGGAUCAUUAGAAAUUAUUAUUGAAAAUCUGUACUCUAACAAGCCUAUAAGAAAUGGACAAAUUUCUGGACACAUGUGACUCAUCAAAAUUAAACCAUGAAGACAAAAAACUGGAAUAAACUAAUAAAAAUCAAUGAGAUUCAAGCAGGAAUAUAAAGUCUCCCCAAGUAAAGUCCAGACCAAAUGGCGUCACUGUUGGAUUUUACAAACCUUUUUUCCUUUUCCCCCCUCAAGAAAUAAAAAGAGGAUUUAUUGCUUUGCUAGAAACGAAAAACACAGGGGACUCCUCUCCUAGAGGCUGUGUUUCUGCCCCUUAGCAUAAACAGGGGGCUUUUUAAAAUAUAUGUUUAGUUGUAGAUGGAUAUAAUAAUUUUAUUUUUGUAUGUAGUGCUGAGGAUCAAAUCCUAUCCCCCAGAGUGCUAGGCAACCCGCUCUACCUCUGAGCCACAAUCCCAGGCCAACAGGGGCCUUUUAAAGAGGUGAUUCAAAGUUGGAGUUGUAAUCCACUUGUUAAUUUAGGAGAUAGUCAUUUUUGAGAUCUUCUGGUACCAUCCCCAAAACCUGAAUUAGUUGUUCCUGCGGUGGGUGUGUACUCAAAGACACAAAUCUGCCUAGGAUGGGAAGAAUGGUAAUCCCGUUUCCCUAAUCUUAGGGAGGAAAAGAGAUUAAAAAAGAAUAGGGAAAGAAAGAAACAUGUCCAUUUUAAAAAUACAUGACAAUGGCAGAGCAGCAAGGGCUAUAUUCAAAGCAUAAAGUGGACCACUGUGACAUUUCCGCAUUCCAUUUCUAUAGAAAAAUAGGUGACGACAACUCCCUGCUGAAAAAGAGCGAAGUUGGGGGAUGUAACUCAAAGUCAGGUGGGGCAUGGACAGUUCAGGAUAUUCUGCAUCAGGGCAGUCCAGAGGUCCACAGUGGUAGAUGGCAGAUGACUGGACAAGGCAUACAUAGAUCAGGGAUCAUGCAGAUGGCCAAGGGUAUUGUGACUUUACUGAGUUCAGUUUCCUUUUUCUACAGUACCAUAGUAGCAGCAUGGUAUUUGGCAUAAAAACAGACCAAUGGACAAGAAAAGAAAUCCUAGGAAUAAACUCACACAUAUAUAGUCAACUGGUUGACAAAGUUGCCAAAAGCAUAUAUUGAAGGAAGGACAGCUUCUUCAAUAGUGCUGGGGAAAACGGAUAUCCACAAGAUGGAUCAAACGUAAAUGUAAAACCUGAUUUCUGAAACUACUAGAAGAAAACAGACACACUUCAAGACAUUGGUACAGUGGUACAGGAUUUUCUACAUAGGAAACAAAAGCAAAAAUUGACUUCUUUCCUAACAUCAUAUCCCUGACUUUAAUUUCCCACAACUGACUUCUUCCCAAGCUUUCUUAGCCUGCUUGGGCAGGCAUACAAAAUAUCAUAGACUAGGUGCCUUAUAAAUAAUAGAAAUUUAUUUCUCACAGUUCUGGAGGCUCUGUGAUGAGUUCUGUGUCCUUACAUGGUGGAAGAGUUUCAGGAUCUCUUGGGUCCCUUUUAUAAGGACACCAAUUUCAUAUUUGAGGUCUGCACCCUCCUGAUCUAUUUACCUCUCAGAGGCUCCAGAUCCUAACACCAUCACUUUGGGGGUUAGGAUUUUAACAUAUGAGUUUGGGAGACAAACACUUAAUCAUUUGCACCAGUGUAAUUUAAAAUGUCCCAAAGAUUUUUGUUUCCUACUAAACCCUAAUCUAAUACUUUCAGUGUUUACUGUAUUCAGGCAAACACUACAAGAUUUCAUCUCUAAGUGAACUAUAAAAACAUUUGCUAUAUUGUCACAUGGCUUCUAUAAUUAUGAUAGUAAUUAUAAUUUGCUGAUCUCCUAAUUGAACAUGCAUUGUAAUGGCCUGUACUAGUCAUUAUAAGGCAAUAUUAUACCUUUUUAUGAUUGAGUAAUCUAAACAUGGAUUGGAACUAAGAUCCCACUCUCCAAAGUCCAUUCCUGUAACAAAAUAUAUUAAGUGAGAUUUUAAAAUUUUAACAUUAUAUUCUUAUUGUCACUUGAGACACUGGAAAAUAUGCUUAUAAAUAGAUUUCAACAAACUCUGUGAAUGAUCAGAGUCCUUUUCAUUCUCCCUAGAGAAAUUUGCCUAGAUAGAUGAUUAUGAAAGUAUCACCAGUAUAAAGUCAAAGACCUUCCAAUCAAUUAUAAUUUUAGUAUAACAUUUAUAUUCCUUACUUUACAAAGCUACCUGAAUAGAAUUGUGUCAGGUGACGGAACAAUUCUGAAGCCAUUAUUGUUUGUAUUUCCCCAAAACUAGAUUAACCAGAUACAUGCCAAAUUAGAAAUCCAGAUAUAAUCAAAAAACAAAGUACUUUUCAUUGGAACCUGGGAAUGGACAUUAUGUUUGGCUAUAUUUUCCAACACAGAAUCAUGUGGUUAUUAUCUUUCCUUUAAUUUCUCUUCUCUUCCUAUAGAAUUGAUUCUAAGUUUUAUAAACACUCACAGUUCUUAUGUCUAUAUGAAAAGAGCUCUGGUGAUGCCAUCUUUGUGUUUCAAGCCAAGAAAUAUCAAGGCCAAUAACACCAUUGAUGGCUAAUUGGAUGUAGUUAUCAAUUUAUACAUUUGUCACUUAUUUGAGGCAAGCCAAAUAGGACUUCAUAUAGCAAUCUCAAAAAAACUACACGAUAAUGACCCUAGCAUGAGGUUUAUUGGUCUUUCAUGACUAGGUUAGAUAAGAUGUAGCCAGAGGAUGAGAGGAAAAGGUCAGAACUGAGGAAGCACACCCAAAUCUGUUAGUUAUAGAGGACAGAGCCAGAGCUUGCAGAGCCUGGACCACACUCGGGUCUGGGCUCACUGCCAAGGCAGCAGUUAUAUUCACUCACAUUGGCAACACAGUCUUGGUGAAGACAAUGAUUUGAGCUCAAUUUUGGGCAUGUUGAUUUUGAAGCUCCUGUGAGAUAUGUACAUGAAAAUGUCUGACAGGCUAGUAAAUAUAUGAGGCAGAAGCUUAGGAGCAAGAUAUAGCUGCACACUUAGAUUUGGAAGGCAUCACAUACAGAUGGCAACUGAAACAAUCUCAGUGGAGAGGUUCGCUACAGAGAAGUAAAAAAAAGAGCCUAUGCCUGGAUCUUGAUGAUCUCCAAAAGUCAGUAGCUGAGCAUAGGACAUACAGCCCAAGAAAUUUCUGAGACACAGAACCAACACAGGCGAGAGUUAUGGAAGCCGAGAGGAAAAUGGGCUUCAGAAAGAUGGCGUGAAGGGCAAUGCCAAGGGCCACUGAGAAGCCGAGGAGGGCAAGAACUUCAAAAUCAUUCCAGAACAGUGAUGAAGCGACAAGAAAAUUUCAAUAGGUCGAGGAGGGAAAAGAAAGGAAGCAGCAUAGACAGCAGAGCUACUUUAGAGGUUUGGCUGUAAUCAGAGGAGAUGGGGUAGCCAAAGAGUCAUAAUUUGAGGGAAAUUUUCUUUAAAAAAAAAGAUGGAGUGGAGCUUGUGUAUUGGUGAUAGAAAGGGACAUAAGGACAGAAGACGUAAUCAAGGAAAUAAGUUCUAAUGGGUCAGUGAAGUGACGGGAGUCCUGAGCUGAGGAGGAGAGAAAAACAUCCUGUGUGUACCCUUGUAACCUAAGGAGAAGAGGCAAGACUACACACACAGCAGGUUGGUGUCAGGACGGUCAAGUGUUAGCCUGGAGAUUUGUCAUUUAUCACUGAAAUAACAAAAACUUACUAAAUAUAGCACCUGCCAUCAUAAGGUUGAAAAUGCUAAACUGAACUAUUGUAAUUUGGGGAUUAUCUGUACCUCUAUGAUUUUUAAGUGUUUUUAUUCAUAUUAUAAUUUAUUUAUUUAUACAUGUGGUGCUGAGAAUCGAACCCAGUGCCUCACAGAUGCUAGGCAAGUGCUUUACCCCUGAGCCACAAUCCAAGCCUCACUUCUAUAAUUAUUAAUCAGAAUUUACACAUGAGAUUGAGAUAGAGUAGUAAUAACCCACUGGCAAGAGUGUAGAAACAGGGGUCAAAUCUUCUCCAGAAUAGAGAGGGAUGGUGUUCAGGUUAUAAAUAGGAAGAGACUGGAAGAUGUUACCACCCUAGUGAAAUAGUAACUAGAACUGAGCAGAGCCCACAGAAAGAAUGCCAGGGAGCAUGAGGACUCAGGGAGAGGUAGAGGGGACUAUAAGCCACGAAAUUAUAUGCAACUAGUAUUCCACAAUAGGAGAGGAUACAUUCUGAAGUCUCAAAGAAAGAUAAUAAUACACAAUUGUAUUAGUAAUCAAUUGAUGUGUAAAAUAUCAUCCCAAAACAUAAUGGCUUAAACAACAUACAGUGUCUCACAGUUUUGGUAGGUGAGGAAUUUGUGAAUGAAUUACCUGGUUGAUUCUGGCUAUGGGUCUCUCUUUGGUCACAGUCAAAAUGGCGGUUGGACUGCAUCAACUGAAGGAUUGAAUAGGGUAUGGUAAACCCUAUUCAAAGUGACUCACCCACAAGGUGUUUGUUAUAGGAGUCUCUGGCCAUGCAAAUCACUUCAUAGGGCUGCUUUUUUUUUUUUAAGAGAUAGAGAGAGAGAGAAUUUUAUUAUUUAUUUUUUAGUUUUUUUUUUUUUUUUGGCGGACACAACAUCUUUGUUUGUAUGUGGUACUGAGGAUCGAACCUGGGCCACACGCAUGCCAGGCAAGCGCGCUACCGCUUGAGCCACAUCCCCAGCCCCCACAGGGCUGCUUUAUUCUCUUUACAAUAUGGUACUGGCUUCCUUCAAAGUAAGUGAUCUGGCAGAGAGCUAACAGAAAACCUUGUGUGGCCUACUUUGGGAAGUCAUACAUCACCACUGUUCGGUUUUAUCCCUUAGAGGCCAAUCACCGAUUCUCACCUAGACUAAAGGAAGAGUUUCAAAGAAUUUCCAAACACAGUUUAAAAAUCACCCCCACUGGAAACUUGGGAUUCGUAUAGAAAGCUUUUCAGAAUUCAAGAGCCUCUUGCCACUGCCUAUAGCUAAAUGGCACAUGGCUUCCCUCAGGACAGGCCAAAGGGAGGUGAAUCUAUUCAAGUGGAAAGGAUAAAACGAGGGCUGUAAAACUCUCUGCAGGACACACAUUGAAGGGCACAUUUUCCAAGUGUUACUGAAAGAUGCAAUUGAUGUUCCUGUGAAUUUUAGUGGGCAUCACACAGCUAAAGUAUCUGGGUGCUCUUUGGAAAUGGGUCCCUUGGUUUGCUGAUCCCUGUGUGGACUGCUGAGCUGAGAGAUGGACUCUCAGUUUCAGUGUGACCUGCUUUAUGCCCGUACUCACAGUUCCUCUGUCUGAAUAGGAAAUAACCAUCCAUGUCCCACUGGCUUAGGCUUCCGUGCUGAUGGGGACACACAGAGGCUUUCACUUUUUUCAUUUCAUUCUCUUAGUCCCCAUGUUUCUUUAUCUCUAACACAGAGAUGGCUGCUUACUUCUCAGCAGUGUCCCCUCUUCCCUAGCAGAAAUGGAUGCCUAAUGCUAAGAGAAUCUCAAAACUUUUUGUUUCUCUCUUACCAAAGCACGACCCCAUCUUGCUGCCUACUGGUGCCUUUUCUGACCUCUGUAUACAUGUAGUUCUAGAUGACUCAACUGGAAAUAGUCUGGUCAGCUGUCAGAGGAUUCCACCACGCAGCUGAGCCACUAAUAAAAAAUAUCCAGCAGCAAAACUAACCGUAAUAUUCUCUAGAAAUUUAAAAUGAGAUUGGGUUUUCUAUCUUCCCCUUUAAUGCAUCCUGGCUUAUAAAGGAACUUAGGACCUAUAUGGGGUUAGUGAGGCAAAUUUGGCCAGGAUACCUCACUUCUGAGUCCCCAAUUCCAUCUACAAAAUAAAUACGAAAUAGAUUGUUCCACAACGCCUAAUAUGCAAAAAAUGGUCAAUUGAUGUUCAUUUUCUUCUGGUUUAAGUUAAAAACCAUGGUGCUAUUAGGAGGGAAGAGAUGACUCCUUGAGCUGUAUAUUUCCUAUCCUGCUGCUUGGCCUGUGGCAUGUUGAUAUACAACUCACCAGGUAAUGGGUGUGGGAUUGUAGAAGUCUUAUGAUUGAUGGCACAAAAACCUAAUUAAGCCCAAUUCAAUUGUAUUUGGAAUAAAGAAUCUCAGGUGAUGAAAUUGCCAUUUUAUCAAGGAAAGCACCUCAAAAUGGAAGAGACCUCAGGACAUGAGAGAACGACUUUGCCAACCCACUUUGUUUUGCACUAACUAGAAAAGAGCACGUACAUUUUUUUUUUUUAACAUAGGCUGUUCAGAUUCAAUUGUAGAGGUAGGAAGCCAUCAGAAAUUACCAUCAAGUCUUCUGCUUCACAGAUGAAAAAAAAAUGCCCCUAAAGUUACUUUUAAUAAAAACAUUUUGAAUACUUAUUAGAAGAUAUUACUUAGACACAUGAUUAUGUUUCUCAAGAAAUCAUGAGUAAAUGGAUGAAUUCAGAGAUCUGCCCAAGGUCACAAGUUAGUACUCAGAGGAACAAGAACCCUGAUAUUCUUACUUCCUGAUAAAUACUCCUGGGUAAGACCAAAAUAUUCCUGAAAACAGGUAGGAAAACUCUAGCAGGUACUUUAGACUGGCUCCUGAAUGACUGACUGAUGUCCAUCCAGGGAACACAACUGCAGCACUCUAGUGUCAGUACAUGAAGGAUGUUCUGUUUUUCUACAGCAUCUCACUCACUCUCUUCUUAGCAGUGAGGGUGUCCUUACCAAUGCCUUAUAUGAAAGGGUUUUUACCUCCAUUUAAUCCCUUGGACAGCCCCCACUUCACAAGUCCUCUUUGUUUCAGAGGCAAGAUAAUCACAGAUGCCUUAAAGCCAGAAUUGUUAUCAUAUCAUUAUCAUACUAAAUGCUAUACAAGGAAUUGGUUGAGUAAAGAAUUUUUUUGCUUACUCUUGAGGAACAAGAAUGAAUAGAAAAAUGUCAUUACAUAGAGGAACUCUAGCCCAUGAUGAUCAGAGACUAUUAGGGUCUAAAAUCCUAGAUUUCUAGGUACAGAUACUACUAUGUUUCUAAGUAUAUAUACUACAAUAUUCAUCAUUUAUGCCACUCACCUGGUUUGAAGCCCUUUCAGAUACAAUUUGACCUUGCCUAACUCUGGUUUCUUAUCUGAACUAUGAAAUACAGAAAAUUAUGUGAAUGGCUAUCUUCUCAGUUCUUUCAAGGAUGGAAUAUAAACUGGACCAUCCUAUAUUCUUAGGAAAAAAGAUGAUCCAUUACAUGCCAUAGAUGUUAUAGAGCAUUAGGACAAAGUCCUGGCUGAGAAACAUGCUACAGUAAUCCAGUAUACCUACAAGUUAUGAACACAUCACAAUCGUUCUCAAUAGCACAUACUUCCAAAAAACCCUUCUCUGUUUAUGAGUUUUUAACAAUGAAAGUGUUUGCAUGACCUCCAAUAUUUUGUCAGAGGGAAAAGUUAAUUUGUAUUCAUAUUAUUAAAAAGGCAUUAUUUUUCUAUUUGCAAAACACAACAGAAAGAUCAGCAAAUCUUUUGUACAUAUGCAAAUUGCAACUCAAAAAUAAACUACUGCCAUAUUUGUAACAAAGAAUAGUAAGUGGAUUUUGCAGGCAAGUUAGACGAAAAUGCAUUUCUCUGAAGUAAUUGAGCAGUUAUUUUAAACUUUCAGUUAGUCAACAAAUUCUUGGAGGAUAUGACAAAGAAAAAAAUACUGCAUAUUUUGCCAACAGAUGGUUGGGGUUUUUUUUUUCCUUACAUUAAGUUAAAUGUCUUGAAUAAAACAAAAGUCGAUGAUUUGUCUCAUAUUUCAAUUUGAUCACUGGUUUACAACUGGAAACUCAGCUUAUAGUUGGCAAGAUAGAGCAGAACUGGAAAAGGAAGUGCCAUUUAUAGAAUGCCUGCUAGGAGCCAGGCACUUUGCACAUAUAAUCUCAGCUAAUCCUCAUGAGGUAAGUGGUUUUAUCAUUUCCUUUUUACAGAUUAAAAAAGUGAGACUCCAGUUCUCACAGUCACUGGCAGUAAUUUCCAUGAUCCAUGUGUUCAGGAUUGUUCCAGGACUCAGUACACCUUCCUCCAGUAAGAUCUGAAAGUAGAUUAGGGCAUUUUAAUUAGUUUUCAGAUUUAUAUCCCCUUUCAUUCAGCAAGCUCUGACCUUAAAUUUGCCUUCACACCAAAUCAAAAGAAAAGGAGGUCAGUACAAUGAAAAAAAUUAGACCCUGGAAAUUUGACCUUCUUACCAUGACUGAUUCAGAUGUUCAAUAUUCCCAGAGAGACGUUGAGCUAUGUUUCACAAUAAAACAGGGUCAAAAGGCAGAAGACCAAACCACCAAUAUCUUUAGAAUCCAGGAUUGGAGGAAAGAGAUAUUUAGAACACAGAUGGUUUGAUUACCUUCUUUUAUUAUCAGAUUGUGAUGAAUACAUCAGCUUGGCACAGAAUCAUUUCUAUACUUUUAGUAGUUGAAAAUUUUAUUUUCUCCAAUGGUCUUCAAGUGGGAUUUCCAGGAAUUAGAAACUGUGUAUCUCGGCCAGCACAAACUUCUGGGGUUCACAAACACACACAGUAUAACGUCUAGAACAUCCGUCAGCUCCACCUCUCACAGAACUGCUUUGGAACUUCCCUCUCCUUCACAUGGAGUCUUCAGAAACUGCUGUUAGAAAAGAAAGAACAGUAACAAAAGUAUUUUCUUUUGUCCAAAAGCACAAUGCAGAGGCACUUUAAGAAUAGGAAAAAUAAUUUCUAAGCCUCUUUCAACAAAGCAUUAAUAUUUAUUAACUUGCACUUUACUGUAGAAUGAAUGUUUUAUAAUCAAAACUUGAGUAGCAACAAAAUGGAAAUUUCAACCACAAGUGACCUACUCUUCCAGUGAUAAAGAGCUUGGGAUGGGUGUAGCUGUCCACUGCCUCUGCAUUUUCAAGGGUUCUUAUUCACUCAUGUAGACAAAGCAGUAACUGAUUACUGCUCCAUGUGAUCACUAAAAGCAAUAACUAAAAAGUUAUGAUCUUUAUCAAUAAGAUGUAACUAUAAUGAAGCUAUGAAUUAACAUAUCAAUGCUAUGUUGAGAAAUGGGGCAUGUAUUAGAAGCUUUUAAAAGCUUAGAAUUAUAUAUCCAUUUUAAAUUUAAAUCAAUUCCCAAAUAAUUCAGAAAAGAGGAUUUUUUUUUCAGAUUUGAACAAAACAUUUGUUUCAAGUUUGUUUAUCCAUUCAUUCACUAUUUAUUAAGCACAUUUUAUUUACCAGGAACAUAGAAAUGUGGGAUUUUGAAUCAAAAUCAAAGGUCUAAAAAAUAACUUACAUGAGAUCUUUACUAUCAAAGAUUGCCCUUACUAAAUCAUUUUGUAAUUUAACAAACUACUCAAUCUUAGUACAGCUUUUCAUGGUGAGUUAUUGCACACUGAAAAAGAACAAGAACAUCUCAACUCAAUAAUUAAUGUACACACUGCACAAAGGCAGAGAAAUAAAAACCCAGUAGCGUUUAUUUGUCUUGUCAAUUUCCAUGAUUCAGUACACUGAUUGCUGUCCUGAGACCAUGUAGCAGUGAGCCUGUUAAAAUGUUCCCUUUCCUAGAUUUGAGUGAAGUUUCUAUCCAAAUAUGUUAGUACUGGAUUUCCAACACAUCACCUUAUGUUUUCAUUGGAUCUAAACAGUGUGGAAAAAGUACAGAUUUUGGAAUCAGGCAGAUCCGAGUGUGAAUUUCCAAUUUAUCUGUCAAUUUUUCAGUUUCUUCAUCUAUAAAAUGAACAUAGCAUGAAACUUAUAGGAUUGUUGCAAAGAAUAAAGAGAAUGUACAUAAAGCAACUAGGUCACAAUAUAUGUUGAUUAUCUUUUUAUACCCCAAAUCUGAGAGACCACACUGAAAUUCUUCUAUUUUAGGUACUGUAAUUCACCAUGAAAGUAAAAAUCAAGAAAAGGUAGAAUAAGCAAGAGGUGAGCAUUUGGAGGCCGAUCUAUAUUUGUCUCAAGAGGCAGUUAUUUUAUAUUCAAGUUGUUUCAUACUUAAAUAAGGUAUCUAAUAAGAACAGUGUUUAUUUUAAAUAACAGGCCUUCAGAUUGCUGAAUGGGAUUGAUAGAGAAGAUCAUAUUCUCUCCAUCCUUAGCCCCUCUGCUUGCUCCAGAAUUGUGACUUUGCUGAAUGUGUAUGUAGAAAUAUGUUGCAAUGAACCCACUAUAUAGGAUACGAUUAUAAAGUACCAAUGAAUUAAUUAAAUUAUGGACAAGAAGAAAAACAAGAUAACUAAAGAUUAUUUUGGGUUCAUUGACAAAUAAAAGAUCAAAAUAAAACAAUCAUCUGCUAGACAGCUUUUUUUAGUGCAAUAAAGCACAAACUCAUUUCUUUAAAGCUUUUAAGCACAGUGUUGCUUUGAAUGGAACUUUUACCUUAAAUCUUGCUUCUACCCGAAGCAAUUCUGAGAAUGCAGACUACACUUCCACUGUACCAAAGAAUGGAUGUUUUCUCUCUCUUUCCAGUUCUUCUUUUCAUAUCCUGUUUGCUUUUCUAACUUCUGCCUUUUCCUUUUGAUUCCCUGCAGGUAGUCCGGCCAUACCAAACCAUGUCCAAUCCCAUGAGCAAGCUCACUGUUCUCAACAGCAUGCAUUCCCAUUUCAUCCUGGCUGACAAUGGAACAACUGGAAAAUACGGAGCCGAAGUGAAACUUCGGAGGCAACUGGAAAAGCAUAUUUCACUUCAGAAGAUAAACACAAGUAAGUUGGUCACUGUCCCACUGUCAUGCCUUGUAGAAAGUACACAAAAAGUAAAAAAAAAAAAAAAAAUCAUGCAGCAGUAAUACAUAUACUUGAGCAAAAACAUGGAUCAUGUUUUCUCCUUGGCCAGUGGUUCAAAUGAGAGACAGUGGUCCAGAGGAGGGCAAUGGAGGCAAAAGAACUGUGGUCCAGAGGAGGGCAAUGGAGGCAAAAGAACUGAUGAUGCAAUGACUGGCCCAAGCCCAUUUAUUAUGCAGAACAUUUCAACCCCAUGAGGGGUAUGUCAAUGCAGCUAUGCUUUCCCUCCAAACUUUUUUUUUUUUUUACAUCCUUUUCAUAGAACUCCAAGAAGAAACAGUUACCCUGGAGAUUUUUUUUUUUUACUCUAUUAAGCUUUUCUAGUGGCUAAAAACAAGAAAAAGGAAAGAAGACAGUAUUUUGAUCAUUGCACAGAUCUAGCUACGCAAAGGCAUUUCAAGGGCACUGAACAUCCCCUAAGCUAAAGCAUCAUGCAAAACCAUCUCGAUGAAAUUUUAACUCAUCUCAUAAUUCUAUGUUCAUAUUGUCUCUAGAUAUAUGUUUAGGUACAUGUGUUUAUUUAUGUGCAUCACAUAAUACAUAUCUACUGGUUACAUUAAUAACAUUUCUUAAAUGGCUGAUGGGCUCUAUGUUGUAUUUUUUGUGUAAACAUUUAAGUGUAAAAGAGUACCAACAACAAUGCUCCUCAGAUCACUAAGCAGCUUACGUUUAAAUGUGAUCAAUCUACUGUCCAUCCUCACAAAAUAAAAUUCAGUUUCUUUUCAAAGUACCACACCAGGCUUCAUGACAAGUUCAAACUUGAUGGUAUGAUGUGUCCCCCUCAAGGAAGCUUGGCUAUAAUUGAUUGAAAUCCCAAAGCCUGCAAUUCCAAAUACUAAAAGAUUCUCUUUGCAUGCAUUAGUUUUCAAAACUCCAGUGUAAUGUGGCUCAAUGUGCCCAAAUCAGUUUUCUUUUCUCUGAUAUUUUUCCUGCAUCUAUUUCAAAUGGGUCUCCCCCUUGGUACAGUGGCCUUCCUGCCACAGUUGGGAUGGUAGACCCACCAGACCACAACUUCUCCUUCCUAUACUCUCGUCUUUGGGUGUUUGGGGAAUUACUGCUGCUUAGUAGCCAAGUUUUAUACUUUCAUUCUUUUCACAGUGAAUUCUGAAGUACUGACUUUGGGCCUAGAUCUGAAGUAAAAGUUGUAUUAGAAAACUCCCUUCCUGAAAUGUCUUUGGAAAGAAGAAACACAGUAAUAGGUCAAGGUGAAUGUUUUAUGGAUAAAAAGAAUAGAAAAGACUAGAAAACUGAUUCAGAGGCCAGCAGAGAUCAAAUGCAAUGACACAAUCUUAUCAAUGGGUGGCAGGUUUUGCUAUCAAUACUAAAACUGAAUUUUGUUACAAUAUUUGAUAAAAUGGGCAAUUAGUUGCAAACGUUAUGCAAUUAGUGUUAUCUACUUAGGUUUUUACAGACUGAAUCUUUUCUUUUACCAUCAGUUAGGAAUGAGAACUAAAAGGCACAGAAGCAGGACCAAAAAAAAAAAGAAUAAAGGGUCUAGUUAGGAACUCAGUGAUGAGAAAAAUCUGUCUAUAGACAGGCAAACCACCUUUAUUAUGCUAGGGCUUGCAGGUGCCUGGGCCAGCUAGUCAGUAGUGUGGGAGCAGAGCUGGGUGUGUGGUUAUAUAACUUAAGCUUCCAUCAAAGAGAUGUAAGCUGGAGUUAAAACCCAGUCAGGGCUCUGUUUAUCGAGCCUUGUACCUUACAGAGUUCCCAGAGGAAAGGUGCCCUUUUCUAAUUGGUCAUCCCAGGAAGGAUACCUUUGUGAUGUACUUAAUGUACCUCAAGGUAUGCCUUUCUCCAAAGCUUGCAGAAGUGCUGAAUGUGUGAGUAGUCUGCAGAGGAGAUCCAGGGAGGCUCAUGGACAGUGACCUGGCCUUAGUGAAGAGCAGAGCUCAGCAGCCUGGAAUGUGAGGAGCAGGUCAGAGCAGAUGGUUGGGACAUCAAGAAUGUUGGAAGACAUGGCACCAGAUGCUAGUCUAUGGGUAGGCAGAUCAUCAUGGACACAUCACAUUCUAUUUGUGUAGACACUAGGCCCUUGCUAACCCAUGGAGACAGGUAGCAGCAUAUGGGCACAUGACAAGUGAGGACCAAUCCAGGGUCUAAGGUGUAAAGUAGGGGCAAAGCUCAAACCAGGGCACUUUGGUGACUGUUUUUGAGGCAUCAGUGAAACCCAUAGGCUACCAUUCAGUAUUGAAAUUAAAUAGAGGAAGGUUCCAGAAAUCAACAGAGAUUGAAGUCAUAGGAAGUUAAGCAGUACAGGGUAAGGAAUUUGCCUAUGAGCUGUAGUAAAUGAUGUGUGAUUCAGCUCCUACCCCAGUUCUAUCCCUGAACUUAAGGGUGGCAAGCAAACAACUCAUCCCAGUUUGCCUGGAAUUGUGGCAGGUUUAGCACAGAAAGUCCCAUGUCCCUGAGUACCCUUGGUCUUGGAAAAACUGAGAGAUGGAUUCAAAAGAUACUCAUUGUAUCUGUUUCCCUUAUUACUGUUCUUAGUCCGCAAGGCAGGGAGGGGCACCAAGCUCCUCACAGUGUAAAGGUGAUCCAGACUCACUGACAUAGAGGUCUCCAGCUAUCAGCAAAGAGCCCACAGAGAACACAGAAACCUACAGAACAGAACUGAGAUGAUGGGCAAAAAGUGAACCUGGUCAUAACACAAAGCAGCCUAAGAAUACAAACCCUUGAUGCAAUCCUCCUCAGCCAAUAUUUAGAACAGUACUUUUACUUUCUAAAUCUAGACUUUUUUUUCUUUAUAUCAUAAUUAGCAAUAAUGUGAUUCUUUCAAAAAUUAAAUUUUAUUCUGUGAGUUUAUUCUAAAAAUUCCAUUUACAUAGUGACACGUAGAGAAAUUAUUAAAUUUUAGAGAAACAGCAGUCCUAUGCAGAAUCUUGUUAAGAUAUAUUUCCUUCAAUUUUUUUUCCUUUUAAAAUAAAUUCUGAAAAAUAAACAAAAAAAUGAAUAUCCCAUUUACAUUUUCAUUUCUUGCUUUCAAAGUUUAGGAAAUCUAAAGUACAACUGUGAAACUCAAUUUCCUGCAAAUUAGAGACAUGAUUAUAUACUCUACCUCCUCACCCUUAGGACAGCCCCAGGACAUCUGCACACAUGUGACACUUUCUUCAAUUAAGUGCCAGACCUGAUCACUAGUGGUGAGCUGCAUGUGGCAGUAACCUACUCAUAAUCCUCUUUUCUUACAUAGAUGACAUAAUCCUCUGGAGGGUAUUUCCCUUAAAUAUAAAGUGAAUCCCUCUCAGGACACCCAUAAGCUCUUUCUCACCAACACUCCAAUUAUUUAUAAUAACAUAUUACAAGUGCCAAAUGUUUGCCAUUUUUCUCAGCACUCUGGCCUUCAUUACCUCAUUCUCUCCCCUUCUCCCCACCCAUUCCUACUGUUGACAGUCAAUAGUGAGCAUUGUAAGGGAUUACUGAUGGGCUUUGUUUAUAAAAGAGAAACCUUUUAGACAUGAACAGCUACCUGCUUUAGAACACUAUCUGCAAUUUUUAAUCUUCAAAUUUAAUAUGCAAGGAACAAAGCCAAUCUUCUCGUCCAUAAAUAAAUAUUUACUGAGCUCAUGUACCAGUAAUAGUUAAGAUCUGGAAAGCAACAGCAACAAUUGUUUAAUUCAUUGAUCUUAAGUCAAAGAUAAACAGAAAUAAAUAAGAAAAUAUGUGAUGUCUGAUAGUAAAAAGUGCUAUUAAGAAAAAAUCAAGAUCUUGAGAUAUAUGUCUGCAUGCAUGCUUAUGUGUUUCAGAGAAUCAUUUACAUCAGGUGAUAGGAAGGGCCUCUAUGAGGAGGUCACAUUGAAGCAGAGGCUGACAGACAUGUUGGUGGGGGGUGGCAGAGACUGGAAAGAGCAUUCCAUGGAGAAUUAAAGCAGGGACAGAAUUUCAAGAGUUCAAUGAAAAGCAGGAAAUGCUUGGUAAAAACUUGGAUUUUGUUAUAAUGAGUUUGGAUCUGGCAAUUUAUAGUAUCUCCCUUAAAAAAAGUCACUGAAAUUCUAAUCUAGAGGUUAAAAUGUGGUCAGGGAUAAGAUUAAAAGCAAGGAGAUGCUCUUAGCAGGCUACUGAAGUGUUGCAGGGGAAAGAGGACAGUGGUUUGAAUAAGGAUGGCAGCAGAAGAGGUAAUAAAACAUGGUAGAAUUCAAGAUAGAAAAUAUAUAUAGGCUACUCCAGAAAGCAGCAUCCAAGUACCUGAUGAAGCUUUAAGACCCCAUCAUACAUUUUGUAAACAUUAUUAAAUUCCAAACAUGCCAAAACUAGAGCACAUUAUCAUGGCCAGGGUAUUACUAUGACUAUUAGUAAUACAUAUUACAUAGCAGGCACAGUACUGCUAGUUGACAUAUAACCUAAAACUAUCACCUAGCCUCUGUAUUCAUCAACCUAUGCCCAGGUUUCUUUCUUGGAUAUGUAAACCCACCACUUCCCUCCUCUAUGGAAAUUAAUGAAACCCAGACAGCAUAUCAUUUCAUCCAUACACAUUUCAGUACCAAAGUAUUUUUUUUCAACUUGUGUUGGCCACACAUAGGCUCAAUUUUACAAGUAUCUCCUUAACUCAGUAGCAAUGUAACAGCAAAUGUUGAUCCAAGCAUUCUUUAAUAGAUCUUUUUAAAAAUAAGACACAUUUCAGGAGCAUCAAAACACAGGAGGGGGAUUUAAUUCUGGUUUUCUAUGACACAGUAGGGUAACUAUUUGUUCAAACAAUCGGAUGUAUUUUAAGAUGACUAGAAGAAUCUAAGCUUCCCAACACACACACACACACACACACACACACACACACACAAACGGUUAGUGUUUGAAGAAGUGAGAUGACUCCUCUGAAUUGAUUACUACACACUGUAUACAUGCAUUGAAUUAACAAUAAUGUGCUCAAAAAAAUGUAUGAAUAUUGACUCAAAAAUAUGUUAAAGUUUAUCUUUAAAGUUUGGUGAUCAUCUUUUCUAGUAGACAAUUCUACUCUCAGCUGACCGGAAACCAUCUAAAACAAAUGCUAACAUUACAAUUCUUAAAAUGAAGGUUAGAAAAAGCCCCAGCAAUUUCGAUUUGCCCUCUAAGAGUUUGAAAGGAAGAAUAUAUCUUUAGGGAAUAAAAGGGGAGGAUGUCUAUUCCAAGUCCUAUAAACUGACAGAGGCAAGUAGACCCAGGAAUUUAGAUCAUCAUGUCUCUGUGACCUCAGGCAAGUUAUUGUAUUUCUCUUAGGUUUUUGUUUCUGCAUCUGUGAACAGGAUUGGUAAUUCCUCUCAGUCUUGUGAGAAAGUCAACCUAGGAAAGGAUUCUGCCAUAUGGAAGUUCAGGACAUUGGUUCUCUUUGUGCCUUCUCAGGGGUAUGUGUACCCCAGAGGUCACCAUCAGCCUGUCACAGGUUCCUCCCUAAGACUCACUUGAAGUCUAGGGCAUUCGUUAGAAUAUCUUCACUAGAUUACUUUAGACCCUCAUUCUGGUAUUGAAGAAGUCACAACCCCUGUAGUUAUGGAGAAGUCCCCAAGGGGAAACAGAGGCUUUAAAUUAUACCCUGGCCCAUGUCAUCAAGUCUCUAUUGACAUUGCUUAUCAAAGAGUAAUUGAACAAUUUUGUGGUCACUGCAGUGAUAAUCAGAAAACUGUCUUUUUCUAUAAUACUGUUGAAAAUAUAUUCUAAGCUGUAGUUGUCACUCCAGCUGGAGUAAACAGUAUAAUGAGAAAUAUAAGCUUUCCUUGCAGAUUCAGAUUCUUAGUGUUUAAGAGUAACAGGAUACAUCGGUGGGAUUGUUAGUAUUCUACUUGUUGCAGGUGCCAGAAUUGGGGCUGAAUGUGCAUUAGCCCAGAGUUGAUCUUAAAAAUUAAGUUUCAGUCUACUACUAGAUUUUCUUAUAAUUUACCACUUUAUUCCAAAAGGAUACUAGAAAUAUUUUGGACUGUUUGAGAUAUGGUUUGUAUUUGCCUGUCAUUUAGACUUGGCCAGAUGGAAAUUUUAUUUGGAUUGCAUAUCUAAUUAUAUUGUAAAUAUCAACUGCACAUGUAGAAAAAUCCUUUAAGAAGCUAGAGUCUUCUGACUGUCUCCCUGCUUGAAAAGGAACUCUAUGUCAAACUAAAUCCAGUCUAAGGUUAUUUCUUCAUGCAGACCUUACAGAUACAUAUAUUUUGUGUGUGUGUGAUGUUAGUUGAUGGGGGUGUCUGGAUAGGCUUGGAUUUCCAGAGCCAGUGCUUUUGCCACCUUCAAAGUUCACUUGGAAGAGACUUUGAUGCUGUUCUUUCUUUGCCCCAGAGUAACAUCUGACAUUUAAGUGUGGUCUCACCUAAUGAGGCUGUCUAGAGUACUCUCCUCUAAAGAAGAUUAAAAUGAGCUUGGCAUUUAUUUCCAAGUAAAUAAGGAGCAGAAAUGAUUGCAGAAUUCAUAAAAUACAAUCAAACUUGGUAUUUGAGCACAUUGGAAUUUAGAAGUCUAUGGAAAAACAUUUUAUCAUGAAGUUCCCAAGCCAGCACCUAAUCAUACGAUUAUGUGCUUAUUCACACAAACUAACAAAAAUGAUAAGAGUGGUUUCCAGUAGGAUAGAAUAAGUUAUGGGGAUUUUGUUGCUAGGGGUCGGUGGGUGGGACAGGGAAAUGGGGAAUAAGUAUUUCCCCUUUGCUUGGAGAUGUAUGAUAUGUGAAUACUGGGAACAUGUGGUACACAAGGUAACUCAGUAAAGUCCGGUUGGUUACUGGAGGUUGGUAAAUCCACUUGGCUAAACUAAACUGGACUUCAAAUUGGUAUGUGUUUGAGAUCUCUCUCUCUCUCUCUCUCUCUUUCUCUCUCUCACACACACACACACACUCUCACACACACACACACACACACACACACUCCUCAAUGUAAAGCAUUUUGUUGCAAGGUUUUGUUGCACUUAGUCACAAGUAAGUACUUAUAUAUAUGUAUCAUUUACACUCUGGUUCCUUCACCACAUUUCUUGGUGAUAAUUCUAAAACAUGACUGUAGUAUCGUUCUUAACUAGGGAGACUUGGUUUCCUAUAGGAUGCCUUUAAAAAUAUGAGAGAAGAUUUAGGGUCAUGAUUUCUGGUGUUUAUUCAUGGCAUAGGAGAGGGAGCAGGAAUGUCUGCCUUCUACUAUAUGCAAAACAUUUUCACCUGAAGAACUGCCUCAUCCAAACACCAACAGCAUCCCUUAGGAAAUACUACUUGGAGUAUAUCCACAGCUCAAGAUUUAUGUAAAAGAAACAUCACUUCUUUCACAGUGGCAAUACGAUACAAAAUAUUUGACAACCUCCAAAAACUCUGAUACCCUAAAUUUAAAGCACAAGCUGGAUGUCAGAUCUGAUACUUCUUUAAAUCCUAAUAUCAUUUGCUAUCAGAAAGUUCUUCCAGAAUUCAUUGGUGCUGAAUCUUGAACCAGUUUCUCCUGGGUGAAAACCACAGUCGUCCGCCUUAGAGCUCCCAGCAUACUUGAAAACUGUGAAAGAACUUGAAUUGAUUCUCUGCCAUAAUGGCUGUCAGGAAGUCCUUUUUCAUUUGAAGAGACACACUGACCUGCUUACCAGGUAGAAUUAACUUAUGAAGUAAAUCAGAUCAGAAUUUCGAAUUCAGUAGCAGCUGUUUUUAGCACCACUGCUUUGUAUAUUUUGGGCUCAGUGAAUCCAGGAAUAUGCUCAAGGCUGGGAGUUUUCCUGUCAGAUUGAUGGGCUCUCAGAAAUAUCCUGCAGUGCACAGUUAUUAGCUAAUGUGGGAGAAGAUACAAGGGCCCAGAGAUACAGCUGCUUUACCCAUGGGCCAGGGAGGGAGAUGGAGAAUCUAAUCAGUGACAGUGUUGUCCAGGGACUAUUUUAAUAAAUCAAGAUUCUAACAGAAUGGAGUUUGAAAUUGAAUAACAAGAAAAUGCUAAUUUUUGAUCUACAAAUUACUGAGAUUUAUUUUGGACAUAAGAGACAGGGUAGAAAUAUAAAUCUUGAGUGAAUGAAUAAAUUCAUGAAGUAAAACACCAUGAGGCAUUGUUUUUCAAAAAUUUACAUUCCAUUUCUAGUACAUGUCAUUUAUUUCCCUGGACUGUAGUACACCCCUGGUAUGUAUUAGCAUUUUCCUAUUGUUAAAUUAUGACACCCACUUACCCUAAAAAAUUGACAUAGAUUAAAGAGCACCAUUGACAUCUUUAACACAUGUAUCAUUGAUCUAACCCUAUUUUUAUUUUAGUUUGUAUGAUCAAUAAAACCCAAAUGGUAGAUUUAGAUGAUUUAUAGACAAUUGGGGUUUCCCUUUUACCUUGGAGAGUUUAAAAAAAAAAAAAAACUAGGAGAAUGAAUUGCCUUACGGAUUUAAUGAAACCAUAAGCAAGAACUUUGCAAAUAAAUUUUGCUUUUGCUCUCUGGAUACUCUAUUGUACAAUAAUUUCUUUGCUCUAUUUUGGUCUAGUUUUUUUUUCAUCACUAUCAUGUUGAGUAUUAUUGUCUUAAAUACUAGUAAGUGAAACGAUUCAGAUUUGAAAAUUUUUUUGGAUGUAAAAUUUUCAGAUUAGGGAUGUUUAACCUAAAUCAAAAUUGGGACUUGUUCAUUCACACAAGCCAAGUUCCUAUAAUAAUACUCAUAAAUCCCAUUGGAAAAUAAAUAAUUUUAAAAUACAUAUGACUAAGUCAAGAAAAUAUUAUAACCAUGACAAUGGGAUAAUUUCCAUUAUAUGCAAAGAGUAUCUGCAAAUCAAAAAGAAAAGUGUGAGAAGCCCUUUGGGAAAAUAGAUAAAAUAUACCAACAAGAUCUUCACAAGAAACAAAAUACAAAUGCUCAGCUUCAUUUGACAAUGAAAUUUUUAACCUAUCAAAUUGACAAAAACCAAAGGUUGAAAAUAUCUAGUGUCGGUAUAUAUGGAAAUAUGUGCCCAAUUUUGGUAAAUAUAGACAACGACAUGUGAAAGAUAGUUUUGCCACCUCUGUCAAAUUUUAAAUGUGUAUGCCGUUGAGUCCUGUAAUUUUACCUCUAGGAAUUUAUUCUGUGUAUAUAUGCAAUAUUAUAUUUUAGUAACAAAUGGAAAUAACCCAAUGAUUCAUCAAUAGCAAAUAGUUCAAGUUAUAUGUAGAUGUAUAGUGAAAUAUUCUAAAAGUAUUAUGAAUAAUGCAAAAGCUUUGAACUCAUAGAAAUUUAAGAGCAUAUGUUUUUCUUUUCUUAAAAGUCUACUGUACAGGGCUGGGUUGUGGCUCAGUGGUAGAGUGCUUGCCUAGCAUGUGUGAGGCCCUGGGUUUGAUCCUCAGCACCACGUACAAAUAAAUGAAAUAAAGGAAUUGUGUCCAUUUACAACUAAAAUUAUACAUAUAUAUAUAUAUAUAUAUAUAUAUACACACACAUAUAUAUAUGUAUAAAGUCUAUUGUAUAACAACUAUAUUAAACAAACGUAUAAUCACAUUUAUAUGCUUGAACAAGUCAUAUUUAUAGUGAGAUUUAGGUUGUGGAGGGGAAGGCAAGAAGUGAUACUCUUUAUAUCUUCAAAAACUUCUUGAUGUUGACUUUUACAUUGAAAAGGUAUUACUUUUGUAAAAGAACAAACCUUUGGAAGUAAGUAGUCAGGCUGUCUUGUGUGGGAGUUUGGGGUCUUCCUCUCACAAGUAUAUGUGUAUCUUUUUUUUAAAAAAAAAAAUAAUUUUAAUAUACAUAUUUAUACAAAAUGAUUCUAUAAGCCACAUAUGUAGUAAAGUAGUACUAUAGUGGGGCAAAUUAACAUCCCAUAAUGUUAUGCAGUUACCCAUUUUCCCUCUAUGACAAGAAUAGCCAUAAUCUACUCAUUUAGCAAAAAUCCUGAAUUCAGUACACCAUUAUUAGCUAUGGUCCUCAAAUUGUAUGUUGUACAUUAGAUCUUGCAACUUGUUCAUCUUCCGAAGACAUCCCAGUUUUCUUUCCCCACCCACUCCCAGGGGUGGCCCCUAUCAUUCUUGACCUGUAGGUAAGGAACCUGUCCAGCUGUGUUCAACAAAGUUUCACCAAACUUCUGGCAAUUCUUUACUCCUAAUAAAAAUUCAAGUCAGGAAAUCUAAGAGUAGAGAGGUUGGGUAAGGACAUAGAACAAUUUUCUCAAAUAAUUGUAAAGAAUAGGUGUACAAAUUAUUGAGACCAAGGUAACAGAUUUUGUGUUAGAUUUGAUAAUGGCCGAUACUGAGACCUUUUUGAAGCUGGUGAAUGACAAGACAGCCUAAAUUUAUUCACCAUCCUUAUCUACUACAAGUGGACCUAAAAUUCCCUGUUUAUGUCCCUACCAUGAGAACAAUCUAGUGCAGCUCAAACUGUUCAUUUUCCCUUGGUCAAGUUCCUAGGCACCCCCAAGACCAGCUCCUUCUCCCCAAUAUGGUGCAGCCCACUCAACAGCUAUUUCACAUUGAACAUUGUCCAUAUGCUCACUGUGAAAAAGUAGCUUCAGGACACUCUUUACUUCACUAUAUUUUUAAGGCCUUAUCUUUGCAGGCAAAAUACAUGUCAAUUUCUUAACUUUUUCAAAAUGUGGUCAAAACAAGAACUUGAAAUCUCAAAUACUGAUUGCUCUCUGUUAUAUUUCCCCUUGACAAUACUUUAGGGCUCUUUCUUUAGAAGUAUUUACUUGUGGGCCUAUAAUAUACAAGGGGUUACAAGAUAAAAAAGACAUAGCUGUGUACUUGAAGAACUUAGUUUUACAAAUAAGUUACUAACAACUGGCAAUUUAUGAGUGCUACCCUAAAUAAUUUACAAACAAUGCCUGAUUUAAUCCUAACACUGAACCUGAAGCAGGUACUACUAUUUUUCCCAUAUACCAAUUUAAGAGAGAGAGAGAGAGAGAGAGAGAGAGAGAGAGAGAGAGAGAGAGAGAGAGAGAGAGAGAGACCAAGUAAUAGGUCCAAGGUCAGAGUUUAGUAAGUGGCAAACCCAAGGAGUCUAUGUCUAAGCCAAUGCUAGGACUGCUCUGCUCUACAGCCUCUCUUAUGAAAAGAUAUGCAUUAUAGACCAGCAAGUGUUUAAAGUCUUUUAGUCAUAUAAAGUACAAUGGUAAUUCAAACACUUCUGGGUUGAAAAUUCAUGGGAGUGCCUUGUCAGAGGAAUUUCAAGUAAGAUUUGACAGGCAGAAUGGGGGCGAUGGAUUGCCAGCCACAUGGGUGGAAGCUUCCAACUACCAUAAAUUUAGUCUAAUGCAUAUAAUCUAAACUUAUUUUACUUUUGUUAAUUUUUUUAAUCUUCUGUCAGCAUAAACAAAAUUUCAGCUACAGGCAUGAAUAAAGAGGAAACAUGAACUAGAGUUCUCUUUCAGGAAAUAGAAUCAUCAAAAUCAUAAGGGAAAGAUAUACAUAUUUCAUUUUUUCCUUUUGCUUAUGCUGACAGAUUUCUUUAAGGGAGAUGUUAAAGCAGAAUACAGAAUCAAAACAACAGAAAGUGUGUAUUUAUAAUUUUAUUUUCAUCUAGUUUGUUGCUUUUAUUUUGUAAAUAGGAAAGUCACUUGGAAAAGGUCAAGUCUCCUGCCUCAACUCAUUCAAUGAAUUAACUUGAACCUGAACUGUAAACUCCUAGUCUGCUAGUGCCACCUUAGUUUUGGGUGGCACUUUCUUACUCUUUGGUAUAACUCCUUAAGAAUUCAGAUUCUCCAGCAACCAACGGAAGUAGGAUAUGUGGGGCAUCAACCUUAUUUCAAUGAAAAAUUCUUAGCACAUUUCCCAUUUUCUCUACUGUGUCUUGAAGGGCAAUUAAUGAAAUAUCAAGACAACCAUGGACAUAAUCAAUACAUACUUCUGAUCUAGACAUUUCCAUUUUUAACUUUGCCACUAAUAUUAUCCUAGAUGAUCUUCACUAAAAUGUCAUUUAAACUUCUGUUCAUUAGGAUUUGAUAACUGGGGGUAAAAUAAACUGAAAAUACCAGUGUGCUGUUCACUCUGCAGGAAGGAUGUUGCUAAACCAUUUUUUUGUUUGUUUGCUCAGUUCCAUUAACAAAUGCUUGUGCUAUAUUUCCAGGAAGGUUUGUGUGGUUGCUGUCUAUCUGAAGCUUUGCUUAUAGUAUUUAGCAAGUGGUCUAAUUGCCAUACACAGUUGUAGAGCAGCCUGGGGGAUGAGUUUGCAAGCUGAAUAUGUUCUUAGAAACAGGCUGAAUAUGUUCUUAGAAACAGGAACUUUCUGGACAAUGUACAAUAGUUACUCUUGGUUUGUUAUUUUAUGAAGUCUGGGGAAUCCAAAGGAACCAACCUUUACAUCCUGUACUUUGAGGGAUAUUACUUUGUGCUUUUCCCAAUAAGGACAUUAAUACUAGAGGUCAACUCUGCCAGGUUGUGGGCACUGAGGAAUGGCCAAGAAUUGGAUACCAUGCCUCUCACCAACCAGCUACCUACCACCCAACUCCUACCUCUCAACAACUGCUACUGGUUGAGGCUGCUCUUGAAGUCUACCAUGAUCCUAGUAAGCUAGGGUCAAGAGACCUAACUUGAGGAUCUUGAGUCCUCCCUAGAUGCUAUUUCUAGGAAGGGAACAAAAAGACAGCAUAAAAAGCAUUGCUUUUGCCCAUGGGAUUCUCCUCCAAGGCCUAGAUUUGAAAUGAGAUGCUAUCUAAGCCAUCUAAUCUGAAGCAUGCUUGUUUAGAAAGCUGGCAACUCCAGAAACAUGAUGUUGUCAUUGCCUUUCUCUCUCAGUGUGGUGUAGAGGAACCAACUUGGUAGGAAACCUAUGUACCUGAAAUGGCUGUGAUGACUUUAUAUAUAGCAAUGUAGAUAUGACUAUAUCUAUAUCUUGGCUAAUGAAAGAAGAGAGUGGCAUGUAGAGAACCAGUCAAGUAAAGACAUUAUUCAUGUUGAAUGACACAUUGACAUUUGUUUCAAUUCAUCUUUAAAAAGAAAAACAUUAGAUUAGCCUCUGAAAGGGUAGUUUUUUUAGGUCAUAUGUAGCUAAUAGCUUGAGAAUGGAACACUUAUUUCUCCAGAAAUCAGAAAAAUUAUUUUUAAAGGAGGUAAGGGAUGAAUCUAGAUCUUGUGUCUGGGAAGGCACAGAACUGGAAGAUGCAUAAUUAUCAUUAUAAUUAAUUAAACAGCAACCAACAUUUCUUAAGGAUUUACUAAGUGCCAGACAUUGCAUUUUAACCCCUCACUACCCUUAAGCUGAAACAGAAUUAUAAAGGAUAUUUCCUCCAGUAAAGGGAAGGUUAAUUUUAAAAAUCUGUUUAAUCAUGACUUUAAGAAAUGCUGUGUGAUUCUUUGCAUAGGUCUGAAUGCGCAUUGUGAGUUGCAGUCACACUUAUAAAAUGUAUACAAAUUGGGUAAGCCAUCUGCUUUAAAAAAAUGUGUAUCCAACCAGUGGGUUGUAGAAAUUUCAAAGAUUUUAUUUUUUGACAGGAUGCCUGCCGUUUUUCUCUCUUGACUCCCGCUUGUUUUAUUCAUUUUGGGGUAGUUGCCAAUUAGACCCCAUUGGUAAGUAUAAUUAAUAGACAACUUGAAUUUCCUCUUAAACCCCAGCCAAGAAAGUUAACCAUAGAAGCCUUCAUUUCCUUUAAAAAUUCCUAACAUUAUCACUUCCUAUGACUGCCAUUUAUCUCUAUCUCCUAAAGUCAUCCAACCAUAUCAGAGACUAGUGACUCCUCAUGAUUUGUCAUUCCAAAGCUGCCACAUAGGAGAGCUUGGCAGCACUGCUAGGAUAUUACCAGAGGAAGGAAGCAUUUACUUAUGAUCCAGGCUUUCUGCAAGGCACUUUUAUAUAUGCUGUCUCUUUUAAAACAUUCAAAAACCUUUCAAGUAGGAACUGUCUUCCUUUCUUAGAGUUGACAAGAUGGCAGCUCAAAGAGAUUAUGUCCUUGUCUUAAAUCCAUUUAGUGAGGCAAAUAGAUGUAAACCAACACUGGUGUGAAUCCAAAACCCUCGUUUCUUCCAUCCACAUAGGAAAACAUUAUCUCAUUCAAGAAGAUCCCCUUAAAUUUUGUUAGCUUAGAGUACCUAAUGGUCAUCAUUUCAUUCAGUAAUCAGUUGAGCAGCUCUGUGCCAGACAUGGGUCAAGCAUUGGUUUGGUCACAAGGAGCCAUCAAGCAGGACUUUGGGAAGAAGAUGGAGUAGAACAAUAGGAGGACAAAGUGGGUGAGGUGAUGGGUUGGGGUGCAGGCAGUUGGAGCUCCUGAUCGUGUCCUCAUGGCUACAGUCUUUCUUCAUGUGACUCGUGGACUUCCCUUUGUCAUCCUAUGCCUGAGAAUAUAUGAAGGAGGCUGGGAAGGCAAAGGGACGUUCAAUUGUCAUCACUGGCAUCUUUUUUGAUCAUUGCACCAUCAUCCAAUGCAUUGGGAUAACCAUGACAUGAUAUUUUCCAUCACUGAGCCCAUAACUGUCCCAUGAGAGGGAUAACAACUCUAUGUUAAAUUCAUGAUAGAAUUUUAUCCAGGGAUCUUGGGAAGUGGGAACAAGUGACAGACUAACUGCAAAACUUCAAACCAUGUGACCUGAACAGAAAAUUAAUAUUUCUCUGAGCAGGCUAUGUGUCUAUCGACAUCUUACUGUCUUCUGUGGAUGCUCUCAUCUGUUCAGCCCAAUCAUGCAGACUUUCUACUGCCUCGACCAAUCAAGACCAAAUAUCAAAUUGCAGAUACCAAUUCAUGAUCAUUUUGCACAAGACUGUGAAGACUUGCCAUUUUUCAGAUGCUCUCAACUGACAAUGUUGUUCAAUAUUUUCUCUGCCGUUUAGAAGGUUGACCCUCUAGACAAUAAUUUGAUGAAGAAAACAAUCUAAACCUUGCCUUGUCUUCAUUUAAUGGAAUGACUUGACUCAAGUCAGCUGUGUAUCUUGCAAUGCUCAUUAAUGAGAAGCCACUUUAUCAAGAUAAUGAAGUCAAAAUCACUCUGAGGAACAGAACAAUUUUUAAUAAAAACAGUUUCAUGGAGUCUGCCUAUCUUGUUCAUCUGACUCUCUUCCUAUGCAAUCUGGGCAUUCUCUCUUUUUCAGCAAAAAUUUUUCCACAUCGGAAUUAUUCAGGGACUGAGACAAUUCUUAUAAACAAAUAAGUCUGAACAGGGGAAAUUCUCUACCAUUCUCAUCCAAUGUUGUAGACACUUUUACCUGCAGGGAAGAACUUUGAGAUCUCUUUGCAGACAGAAUGAUUUAGGUUGCAAAUGUUUAAUUGGCAUUUUUAAUCUCAAGGUCAGAAAAAUUACUGUUGUUCAUCAGAUUUGGAGACCUUCCUGAAGGGAUCCAAUCUCAUCCUUGUUUCAUUGCUAACUGAAAAUCCUUCCAUAUUUUUCAUUUUUUUUCUAGCUUCUUAUUCACCAUAAUAUCAUGUGGACCUUCUGUCCCACCCAUUCCAAAAUACUUGCAAUUUUUCUUAAAUAACUCAACCCAUUAUAUGUCUUUCUAUUCCUUUUUGAUAUUUGCUAAAAUUUGAUCCUCUCCCAUUCCUACCUGUCUACACUCCUGAGUCUCAGAUAAAAAAUCUCUUCUUUGCCCAUCCCAAUCCCUCACUUCCUCUGAUUUUAACAGACCCACAUUCACCCCUUCUGCUGUGCUCCUAUGUCACUCUGUCAUGGCAUUGCUUCUUUCGGUAAGAAGAGUGUCUUCCCAUCUUCUUGCUCUGUCCCCCAUCACAUGUAGAUUGUGGAUUCCUAGAGAGCAGGGCAUGUCUCUUGUCUAUUUUUAUCAUCCCCAAAACUUAGUACAGUGUCUGGCACAUCCCGGCAGGUGCUCAAUAAAUGACUGCUGUAAAUAUUAACACCUGGUUUACCUAGCCCAAUUUUUAGUUCUGGUUUCUAAUUUGAUACCAAAAAAAUGUAAUAGAGGCGUUUAAUAUUAAAAUCUAGAAAAGAAGGACAAAAUGACAGCAACAUAAACCCACGGAGGAAAAAUAAAUAGGAAUAUGUACAGGCAAAGACCAUUGUGCCUACUUCUGUUUAUUAGGCAUGAAAGCAUUUAGUCUGGGAAAUUUUAACUGUGUUCCUAUGAAAUCAUGAUUGUUGAUAAAUCAUUUCCAUCUUAUGAGAGUCUAAGAAUAUUUUUUUUUGUAGUAUCCAAUGCCAUCAUGGCUUCAGGUAUUUCCACCUAAAUGGAAUAAGAUAACUAUUGACUUUUCCCCACUUAUUCAAAGUGAUCAUUGCCGGUGGCUGCUUUUCAAUCUAGAUUUUGAUCAAUCUAUUGGGUAGAAAUGCAUACUCACUUUAGAAAGUUAGAAAAACAUAAAAUAAAUGGGAAAACUUGUACUGAGU
rnacentral:lncRNA from 1 species